UACAGGGGGUGCAAACGUUGCUCGGAAUCAUUGGGCGUAAAGCGCACGUAGGCGGUCUGUUAUGUCGGAUGUGAAAGCCCUUGGCUCAACUGAGGAAGUGCAUCCGAAACUGGCAGGCUAGAGUACUAAAGAGGGUCGCAGGAAGUUCCCGGUGGUCAGAGGUGAAAUUCGAUUAGAUAUCGGGAGGGAACACCGGUGGCGAAGGCGGCGACCUGGGUAGAUACUGACGCUGAGGUGCGAAAGCGUGGGGAGCAAACAGG
rnacentral:rRNA from 1 species